CUCAAAGCCCUUAAAAGGAUUUAUAACACAAAAAUGACUUUCAGUAAAUUGCAUUAUAUGUGUGGAUAGUGCUGUAGCCAGAUUCUUGCAUCAUUUCACACAUUAUAUUUGGGCUAUAGCUGGAUCUGACAGUGCCCGGAGCCUGCUCGCCCCCCUCUCACUCGCUCGUUCUCCGCUCCUGACUAACUACUGUUUUGGAUUGGCCUCUGGCCUCGGUCUCCUGGAAUCUUCUUUUGGAAGUCAAGGGUUUACCCCCGCGCUAAAAACGAUGCUCCAGCCUGUUUGAACACCCUUUCUGCAUCCAUUCUGCAGGCCAGGAGUGGGAGGAAACCGUGUAAUUGCGGUAUUUCAGGACCCGCCCGGGGCUAGCUGGAACUGAACACACGCAGUGGACUCUUGAUUAUCCCUGCUAAUAGAGGGAAUGGUAGUUCAGACCACACGCAUUGUUUCUGGACUUUGAAGCCAAGUUUUUAUCAUCCUUACAGAGACAGCCUUUCUUUGGCGAUAGCGGCGAAGCAGUAGGCUGCUCAAGGGCCAUUUCUAUCACCGGACCUCAUCUGUCAUGGCAUCACUCUCAGAGGCUAAGAGCUCAUUGAAGUGCUCCUUUCAAGAUGUCAAGGGCAAGCAGCUGGGCUUGGGGGAAGUGCAGAGAUAAUUCUGCUGAGCCUUUGUUUCCCAGCCCGUCUGGCAAUCACCAGCACUGCGGCAACGACAGGAAAAGCCUUCAACGCCCACUUCCUUGCCACACAAGAGCCGCAUUUCUGAACUGGGUCAGCCGGGUGAGGCGUGGCCACCUGUAUGGACCUCCAGGCACGUGAAGCCACUCUUGCCGAAGACGUUUGGUUGGAGAAUUUUGGUUUUGUGGCUGUGUACACGUUCUGUCAUUGCAUGGCCUGUGAUGCAGAGAGCAUAUCUCUUCCCCCUGAAAAGCCUUGGCAGAGAGCUUUCAUUUUGGAGGAAGCUUAUUUCCGGGCAACCAUCUCCAGGGAAAAUGAGUGUGAGGCAGUAGGCAGUAAACAACAUCGUAUCCCAUAGGGACGGAGGUGACCCGAAUGAGCUCCGGAGCGAGUCCGUGAUAGCGGCAGAAUCAUUACAGUGUGUGCGCCUGCCCAAGUCCAUGUGUAAUUGUAAUGUAUAAUUAAUACAGAGCUAAAAUUAAACUCCUGGGUGAAAGAGACGGGCAGGCUGAGGAGGCUGAGGAAUAUCAACCUCUAAGAUACAGCUUGUUUAUGACAAAUGUAGGAUUGGGUUGCUCUUCAUUUCAGUGGGCGUGUGCCUGUGUUUUGGGUUGCUCUUUGCUAAUAUUUCAGCCUUGAGGAAUAAGGAUUCCACAGUUAUCCUCUUCCCAUUCCUUCCAACCCCAGGAAGAAACUCUCUUUCAAGUAACCUUGUCCUCAGGCCACUGAAGUACUUUGGUUUUUCCAGAUAAUUUUUCUCAAGUGACGAAACUCACAAGCAAACAGAGACAGGACACGCCCCUUUCCUGGUGCCAUUCCUUGGUGCGCUCUUGACCCUGACUUUGCCAUGAGUUUGCAGGCGUGUCACCUGAGGAGACUUCCAGCUCUCGCUCGUGAAUACGGCUCACAGCGCCCUCCACCAUUCUUUGGACCUUGAAGAGAGGUGACCACUGGUUGCCAUUGUGGCCCUUGAUGGUUAAUUAAAGUUUGAUUCUGGGAGCAGCGGUUUUUUUGAAACAACUCUCAGGGUAACUAAGCUUACUUCUACUUUUCAAACCCAGACUUCACGUUAGCCUCUGCAUUCUAUUUGUGCUAAAUGUGCAGUACUGAAGAAUUUAGAGAGAAGACAGUUUUUACUUCUCUUCUUUCCUAGUUGAUUGUUUGAAACUCACUGACAGGCUUGAGCUGAACCAUCGUCUGGUUCCGAAUUCCCACUUCAGCGU
ensembl:lncRNA